rnacentral:rRNA from 1 species
UACGUAGGGUGCAAGCGUUAAUCGGAAUUACCGGGCGUAAAGCGUGCGCAGGCGGUUGUGCAAGACCGAUGUGAAAUCCCCGGGCUCAACCUGGGAAUGGCAUUGGUGACUGCACGGCUAGAGUGUGUCAGAGGGGGGUAGAAUUCCACGUGUAGCAGUGAAAUGCGUAGAGAUGUGGAGGAAUACCGAUGGCGAAGGCAGCCCCCUGGGAUAACACUGACGCUCAUGCACGAAAGCGUGGGGAGCAAACAGG